CCUACGGGAGGCAGCAGUGGGGAAUAUUGGACAAUGGGCGAAAGCCUGAUCCAGCAAUGCCGCGUGAGUGAUGAAGGCCUUAGGGUCGUAAAGCUCUUUUACCAGGGAUGAUAAUGACAGUACCUGGAGAAUAAGCUCCGGCUAACUCCGUGCCAGCAGCCGCGGUAAUACGGAGGGAGCUAGCGUUGUUCGGAAUUACUGGGCGUAAAGAGUACGUAGGCGGUUAUUCAAGUCAGAGGUGAAAGCCCGGGGCUCAACCCCGGAACUGCCUUUGAAACUAGAUAACUAGAGUCUUGGAGAGGUUAGUGGAAUUCCGAGUGUAGAGGUGAAAUUCGUAGAUAUUCGGAAGAACACCAGUGGCGAAGGCGACUAACUGGACAAGUACUGACGCUGAGGUACGAAAGCGUGGGGAGCAAACAGGAUUAGAUACCCUGGUAGUCCACGCCGUAAACGAUGAUAACUAGUUGUUCGGUCACUUGGUGACUGAGUGACGCAGCUAACGCAUUAAGUUAUCCGCCUGGGGAGUACGGUCGCAAGNUUAAAACUCAAAUGAAUUGACGG
rnacentral:rRNA from 1 species